rnacentral:rRNA from 1 species
UUCCGGUUGAUCCUGCCGGAGGCUACCGCUAUUGGAGUUCGAUUAAGCCAUGCGAGUCGCGAGUCUUAGGGACUCGGCGUACCGCUCAGUAACACGUGGGUAACCUGCCCUAUGCUGGGGGAUAACCUCGGGAAACUGAGAAUAAUACCCCAUAGUUCACCACGCCUGGAACGGUGGGUGGACCAAAGCUCCGGCGGCAUAGGAUGGGCCUGCGGCGUAUCAGGUUGUAGGGGGUGUAAUGUACCCUCUAGCCCUCUACGCGUACGGGUGUUGAGAGACAUCGCCCGGAGAUGGAUUCUGAGACACGAAUCCAGACCCCACGGGGUGCAGCAGGCGCGAAAACUUGGCAAUGCGAGAAAUCGUGACCAGGGAACUCCAAGUGCAUCGGGUAAGACCGAUGCUUUUCUUGACUCUUCAAAGGUCUUGGAAUAAGGGGUGGGUAAGGACGGUGCCAGCCGCCGCGGUAAUACCGGCGCCCCAAGUGGUAGUCGCUUUUAUUGGGCCUAAAACGUCCGUAGCCGGUCUGGUACAUUCGUGGGUAAAUCAACCAGCUCAACUGGUUGAAUUCUGCGAGCACGGCCAGACUUGGGACCGGGAGAGGUGUGGGGUACUCUCAGGGUAGGGGUAAAAUCCUGUCAUCCUGAGAGGACCACCUGUUGCGAAGGCGCCACACUAGAACGGAUCCGACGGUCAGGGACGAAGCCUAGGGGCACGAACCGGAUUAGAUACCCGGGUAGUCCUAGGUGUAAACGCUGUGGACUUGAUGUUGGGGGCGCUCCGAGCGCACUCAGUGUCGAAGCGAAGGUGAUAAGUCCACUGCCUGGGGAGUACGGUCGCAAGGCUGAAACUUAAAGGAAUUGGCGGGGGAGCACCGCAACCUGAGGAUUGUGCGGUUUAAUUGGAUUCAACGCCGGA